UGGCUCAGGACGAACGCUGGCGGCGUGCUUAACACAUGCAAGUCGAACGAAGCUGGGAGAAAGAUUCUUCGGAAUGAAUCUCUAAGACUGAGUGGCGACGGGUGAGUAACGCGUGAGCAACCUGCCCUUCGAGGGGGAUAGUGUCUGGAAACGGACAGUAAUACCGCAUAACGUACAGAUACGGCAUCGUGACUGUACCAAAGAUUUAUCGCCGAAGGAUGGGCUCGCGUCUGAUUAGAUAGUUGGUGGGGUAACGGCCUACCAAGUCGACGAUCAGUAGCCGGACUGAGAGGUUGAUCGGCCACAUUGGGACUGAGACACGGCCCAGACUCCUACGGGAGGCAGCAGUGGGGAAUAUUGCACAAUGGGCGCAAGCCUGAAUGCAGCAACGCCGCGUGGAGGAAGACGGUUUUCGGAUUGUAAACUCCUGUUCUUAGGGAAGAAGACAGUGACGGUACCUAAGGAGAAAGCCACGGCUAACUACGUGCCAGCAGCUGC
rnacentral:rRNA from 1 species